rnacentral:rRNA from 1 species
UACGAAGGGGGCUAGCGUUGCUCGGAAUCACUGGGCGUAAAGCGCACGUAGGCGGAUUGUUAAGUCAGGGGUGAAAUCCUGGAGCUCAACUCCAGAACUGCCUUUGAUACUGGCGAUCUCGAGUCCGGGAGAGGUGAGUGGAACUGCGAGUGUAGAGGUGAAAUUCGUAGAUAUUCGCAAGAACACCAGUGGCGAAGGCGGCUCACUGGACCGGUAUUGACGCUGAGGCGCGAAAGCUAGGGGAGCAAACGGGG